CCUACGGGAGGCAGCAGUGAGGAAUAUUGGUCAAUGGACGAGCGCCUGAACCAGCCAAGUAGCGUGAAGGAUGACUGCCCUACGGGUUGUAAACUUCUUUUAUAUAGGAAUAAAAUGAGGCACGUGUGGGUUUUUGUAUGUACUUUAUGAAUAAGGAUCGGCUAACUCCGUGCCAGCAGCCGCGGUAAUACGGAGGAUCCGAUCGUUAUCCGGAUUUAUUGGGUUUAAAGGGAGCGUAGAUGGAUUGUUAAGUCAGUUGUGAAAGUUUGCGGCUCAACCGUAAAAUUGCAAUUGAUACUGGCAGUCUUGAGUACAGUUGAGGUAGGCGGAAUUCGUGGUGUAGCGGUGAAAUGCUUAGAUAUCACGAAGAACUCCGAUUGCGAAGGCAGCUCACUAAACUGCCACUGACACUGAGGCUCGAAAGUGUGGGUAUCAAACAGGAUUAGAUACCCGGGUAGUC
rnacentral:rRNA from 1 species